rnacentral:rRNA from 1 species
GUUGAACGCUGGCGGCAGGCCUAACACAUGCAAGUCGGACGGUAGCACAGAGGAGCUUGCUCCUUGGGUGACGAGUGGCGGACGGGUGAGUAAUGUCUGGGGAUCUGCCCGAUAGAGGGGGAUAACCACUGGAAACGGUGACUAAUACCGCAUAACGUCGCAAGACCAAAGAGGGGGACCUUCGGGCCUCUCACUACCGGAUGAACCCAGAUGGGAUUAGCUAGUAGGCGGGGUAAUGGCCCACCUAGGCGACGAUCCCUAGCUGGUCUGAGAGGAUGACCAGCCACACUGGAACUGAGACACGGUCCAGACUCCUACGGGAGGCAGCAGUGGGGAAUAUUGCACAAUGGGCGCAAGCCUGAUGCAGCCAUGCCGCGUGUAUGAAGAAGGCCUUCGGGUUGUAAAGUACUUUCAGCGGGGAGGAAGGCGGUGAGGUUAAUAACCUCGCCGAUUGACGUUACCCGCAGAAGAAGCACCGGCUAACUCCGUGCCAGCAGCCGCCGUAA